rnacentral:rRNA from 1 species
GACGAACGCUGGCGGCGCGCUUAACACGUGCAAGUCGAGCGAGAACCUUCCUUCGGGAAGGGGAAAGCGGCGAACGGGUGAGUAACACGUGGGUAAUCAACCCUUGGUACCGGGAUAGCCCGAGGAAACUCGGAUUAAUACCGGAUGGCCCAACAGCUUUUCGGGGCGGGUUGGGAAAGGUAGCUUCGGCCUCCGACCGAGGACGAGCCCGCGGCGGAUUAGCUUGUUGGUGGGGUAACGGCCUACCAAGGCGACGAUCCGUAGCUGGUCUGAGAGGACGAUCAGCCACACUGGGACUGAGACACGGCCCAGACUCCUACGGGAGGCAGCAGUGGGGGAAUCUUGCACAAUGGGCGAAAGCCUGAUACAGCGACGCCGCGUGAGGGAAGAAGGCUUUCGGUUGUU